rnacentral:rRNA from 1 species
UACGUAGGGACCGAGCGUUGUCCGGAAUCAUUGGGCGUAAAGAGCGUGUAGGCGGCUCGCUAAGUCUUGCGUGAAAUCUCGGGGCUCAACCCCGAGCGGUCGUGAGAAACUGGCGGGCUAGAGUGCGGGAGAGGAGAGUGGAAUUCCUGGUGUAGCGGUGAAAUGCGCAGAUAUCAGGAAGAACACCCGUGGCGAAGGCGGCUCUCUGGAACGCAACUGACGCUGAGGAGCGAAAGCGUGGGGAGCGAACAGG